UACGUAGGGUGCGAGCGUUGUCCGGAAUUAUUGGGCGUAAAGAGCUCGUAGGCGGCUUGUCACGUCGGGUGUGAAAGCCCGGGGCUUAACCCCGGGUCUGCAUUCGAUACGGGCUGGCUAGAGUGUGGUAGGGGAGAUCGGAAUUCCUGGUGUAGCGGUGAAAUGCGCAGAUAUCAGGAGGAACACCGGUGGCGAAGGCGGAUCUCUGGGCCAUUACUGACGCUGAGGAGCGAAAGCCAGGGGAGCGAACGGG
rnacentral:rRNA from 1 species